GAUGAAGAACGUAGUGAAAUGCGAUAAGUAAUGUGAAUUGCAGAAUUCAGUGAAUCAUCGAAUCUUUGAACGCACCUUGCGCCCUUUGGCCAUUCCGAAGGGCAUGCCUGUUUGAGUAUCAUGAACACCUCAACUCUUCAUGGUUUUCCAUGAUGAGCUUGGACUUUGGGGGUCUUGCUGGCCUACGGUCGGCUCCUCUAAAAUAAAUCAGCUUGCCAGUGUUUGGUGGGUAUCGCAGGUGUGAUAACUAUCUACGCUUGUGGUUUUCCACCAAGUAACCUUCAGCAGUGGAGGUUCACUGGAGCUCACAGAUGUGUCUCUCCUCAGUGAGGGACAGCUCUUUGAAUGUUUGAUCUCAAAUCAGGUAGGACUACCCGCUGAACUUAAGCAUAUCAAUAAGCGGAGGA
rnacentral:misc_RNA from 1 species